CAGUAGCCGCGGUAAUACGUAGGGUCCGAGCGUUGUCCGGAAUUAUUGGGCGUAAAGGGCUCGUAGGCGGUUUGUUGCGUCGGGAGUGAAAACCCAGGGCUUAACUUUGGGCUUGCUUUCGAUACGGGCAGACUUGAGGCAUUGAGGGGAGAACGGAAUUCCUGGUGUAGCGGUGAAAUGCGCAGAUAUCAGGAGGAACACCGGUGGCGAAGGCGGUUCUCUGGCAAUGUUCUGACGCUGAGGAGCGAAAGUGUGGGGAGCGAACAGGAUUAGAUACCCCAGUAGUCCCUGUCUCUUAUAA
rnacentral:rRNA from 1 species